CUGCCAGUCGAACGGAAACAUGUCUAGCUUGCUAGAUGAUGUCGAGUGGCGGACGGGUGAGUAAUGCUUGGGAACUUGCCUUUGCGAGGGGGAUAACAGUUGGAAACGACUGCUAAUACCGCAUAAUGUCUACGGACCAAACNGGGCUUCGGCUCUGGCGCAAAGAGAGGCCCAAGUGAGAUUAGCUAGUUGGUGAGGUAAAGGCUCACCAAGGCAACGAUCUCUAGCUGUUCUGAGAGGAAGAUCAGCCACACUGGGACUGAGACACGGCCCAGACUCCUACGGGAGGCAGCAGUGGGGAAUAUUGCACAAUGGGGGAAACCCUGAUGCAGCCAUGCCGCGUGUGUGAAGAAGGCCUUCGGGUUGUAAAGCACUUUCAGUUGUGAGGAAAAGUUAGUAGUUAAUACCUGCUAGCCGUGACGUUAACAACAGAAGAAGCACCGGCUAACUCCGUGCCAGCAGCCGCGGUAAUACGGAGGGUGCGAGCGUUAAUCGGAAUUACUGGGCGUAAAGCGCACGCAGGCGGUUUGUUAAGCUAGAUGUGAAAGCCCCGGGCUCAACCUGGGACGGUCAUUUAGAACUGGCAGACUAGAGUCUUGGAGAGGGGAGUGGAAUUCCAGGUGUAGCGGUGAAAUGCGUAGAUAUCUGGAGGAACAUCAGUGGCGAAGGCGACUCCCUGGCCAAAGACUGACGCUCAUGUGCGAAAGUGUGGGUAGCGAACAGGAUUAGAUACCCUGGUAGUCCACACCGUAAACGCUGUCUACUAGCUGUUUGUGACUUUAAGUCGUGAGUAGCGAAGCUAACGCGAUAAGUAGACCGCCUGGGGAGUACGGCCGCAAGGUUAAAACUCAAAUGAAUUGACGGGGGCCCGCACAAGCGGUGGAGCAUGUGGUUUAAUUCGAUGCAACGCGAAGAACCUUACCUACACUUGACAUGUUGAGAAGUUACCAGAGAUGGUUUCGUGCCUUCGGGAACUCAANCA
rnacentral:rRNA from 1 species